GACGAACGCUGGCGGCGUGCUUAACACAUGCAAGUCGAACGCUGAACCCGCUUCGGUGGGGGAUGAGUGGCGAACGGGUGAGUAACACGCGGGCAACCUGCCCCCGGCUCUGGGAUAACUCCAAGAAAUUGGGGCUAAUACCGGAUGUGACCGCUGGCCGCAUGGUCUGGUGGUGGAAAGGGUUUCCGGCUGGGGAUGGGCCCGCGGCCUAUCAGCUUGUUGGUGGGGUAGUGGCCUACCAAGGCGACGACGGGUAGCCGGCCUGAGAGGGUGACCGGCCACACUGGGACUGAGACACGGCCCAGACUCCUACGGGAGGCAGCAGUGGGGAAUAUUGCGCAAUGGGCGGAAGCCUGACGCAGCGACGCCGCGUGGGGGAUGACGGCCUUCGGGUUGUAAACCUCUUUCAGCAGGGACGAAGCGCAAGUGACGGUACCUGCAGAAGAAGCACCGGCCAACUACGUG
rnacentral:rRNA from 1 species